CCGAGAUAGGGUCUUCGGGCCCGACCUCCCAACCCUUUGUCUACCACACCAUGUUUGUUGCUUCGGCGGACCGGUCUCAGAACGUGCCUCCCUCGCGGGGGGCAGGGGAGAGACCGCCGGGACCUUUACCGGUCCGGGAGCGUCGUCCGUCGAUGGCCCAACCACAUAAACUCUUGAUGUAACCAUGUCGUCUAAAUGUUAUUUUGUAUAAUUACAAGUAAA
rnacentral:misc_RNA from 1 species